GGUGCUGUAGCUCAGUGGUAGAGUGUGAGCCUUGAACACAAAGAGGCUCAAGGACAGCGCCU
rnacentral:tRNA from 1 species